rnacentral:rRNA from 1 species
GUUUACGGCCAUGCUACCCUGAACACACCCGAUCCCUUCUGAUCUCGGAAGCUAAGCAGGGUCGGGCCUUGUGAGUACUUGGAUGGGAGACCACCUAGGAAAACCUGGUGCUGAAGGUG